AAAACCCUAAAAGGGCGUAAUAANAAGUAAAAGGGNUGGNANAAUUUGUGCACUUGUGUACNAAUUUUCCCCUUGAGGAAAAGAAUGGGAAUAAUUAUUUUUAACUUUAAUAGUUACGGCUGUUAAUUGUUAUAUAUAAAAAUUCCCGCAUUCCCAGGGCGCUUGUUUCUUGCUUUGCAAGUCAAUGCGCACCCAGAGCGUACACGCUGAUACCCGAAAGAUGGUGAACUAUGCCUGGCCAGGACGAAGCCAGGGGAAACCNCUGGUGGAGGUCCGCAGCGAUUCUGACGUGCAAAUCGAUCGUCGGAGCUGGGUAUAGGGGCGAAAGACCAAUCGAACCAUCUAGUAGCUGGUUCCCUCUGAAGUUUCCCUCAGGAUAGCUUGCGCUCGAUUAAACGAGUCUCAUCCGGUAGAGCGAAUGAUUAGAGGCAUUGGGGUCGAAACGACCUCAACCUAUUCUCAAACUCCAAAUAGAUGAGACCCCCGGCUUUCUUAAAAUUGAAGCCGUGGGAUUUUGAUCAGAGUGCAAAGUGGGCCAAUUU
rnacentral:rRNA from 1 species